rnacentral:rRNA from 1 species
GACCGAGGCCCCAAGCGUUAGGCGGAAUCACUGGGCUUAAAGCGUGUGUAGGCGGAUCGUUAAGUGUCUUGUGAAAUCCCACGGCUCACCCGUGGAACGGCUGGGCAUACUGGCGAUCUUGGGCCAACUAGGGGCAGUCGGAACAAGCGGUGGAGCGGUGAAAUGCGUAGAUAUCGCUUGGAACGCCGAAGGUGAAAACAGACUGCUGGGGUUGCGCCGACGCUGAGACACGAAAGCCAGGGGAGCAAACGGG